AUUGAACGCUGGCGGAAUGCCUUACACAUGCAAGUCGAACGGCAGCACGGGAGCAAUCCUGGUGGCGAGUGGCGAACGGGUGAGUAAUACAUCGGAACGUGCCCAAUCGUGGGGGAUAACGUAGCGAAAGCUACGCUAAUACCGCAUACGAUCUACGGAUGAAAGCAGGGGAUCGCAAGACCUUGCGCGAAUGGAGCGGCCGAUGGCAGAUUAGGUAGUUGGGGGGUAAAGGCUCACCAAGCCUUCGAUCUGUAGCUGGUCUGAGAGGACGACCAGCCACACUGGGACUGAGACACGGCCCAGACUCCUACGGGAGGCAGCAGUGGGGAAUUUUGGACAAUGGGCGCAAGCCUGAUCCAGCCAUUCCGCGUGC
rnacentral:rRNA from 1 species